rnacentral:lncRNA from 1 species
CUUUUCUCCUCUGUUACACUGCUGCAAUAAAGGUCUCUUAGUCACUCUGAGUGUUGUGGUCACUUUCCUUUCGUUGGUGCCAAAACCUGGGAAGAGGGUUAAAACCCACUUUUAGGGUCCCUCUUCCGGAAGUGCCACUCACUGGUCAGCCUGAACCCAUUUUCUUGACUGCCAGAACUCCAUCCACCCCGGCCUUCAAUUGGUGAGUUUCCCCUUCCUGGAAACUCAAUGGUGGCAUCGGGAGGAUCUGACCGUUGAUUGUCCGGCAAACCUCUUCACCCACCACAGCCUGUAAGGCCACGGUGGCCCUCAGGGACUCCUUCCUUGGGCAGAUUGGACUCUUGGGUUCAAAAUUAUUCCCCUUCCCCUUCUCAGCUGGUAGUUUACCAGCAUAGGCUUUGUAGGUCUCCCUCAAAGGACUGGUAACUGUUAGGUUGAUGGUGGUGACUUGAGGGCGACUUAGAACAAAGCAGCCCGUGGGGGGGGGGGGGACAUAUCAAUCAGGUGCCAGCGGAAAUGCCUGUCAAUCAGCCAGAUCUCCUGACUAAUGCCUGUCAAUCAGCAGGACCCCCUGGCCAAUCCUGGAGUUCAGCCAACUCCCCUGACCAACUCCAAGGGGACAAGGGACCCUAAAAACACCUUUUCCUGUCCCAAACCCUUCCCUUCCUGCUGUAAAACCCAUAAAAGUCCAGUCCAGUCGAGCUGCCACGCGGUUUCUCCUCAGACCCUUCCCCUGUCCCCUCUGUGGGUCCGAGUUCUGCCCGGGAGUGAGAUCUCAAUGAAGCUCAAACAAGCUGAGGAGAGCCCUCAGACCCCUAUCCAAGAUCUGGUGAAAAUGGCCUUUAAAGUUGCUUUGUCAUCAGUGAAAACAGGUUACUAAGAAUUAAAGUCCCUCACAGGCUUUUUGGGAUACUCACUCCCAUCUUCCCCUCUGCUCUACCUGUUCUGCUGCUCAAGUUUCCUUGCUAGGAAAAUCCCAAACCCCUUUCCCAUUCUUCUUUCACAUCUCCUUCCUCAUCCUCAGAUCCACGGAGCUGCUCUCAGCCCCGCCUUCCCCUCUUCCCACUCCCUACCCAGGCCACAGAAAAGUCUUAACUGACCUUCUCCAGAAUCUUCACCAUGGCUGAUUUUAGGACUUUCAGCAAAAGAAUCUCUACAAAAGAGUUCAGUGUAGAUAAACUUCCCUCUUUUCGUGUUGCCCUGUUUUACUUGGUCACUGGCUGGAAAAAUCAGCACUCCAGGUGCUGGACACCCCCUUACGAGUUUUUCACAAAAAUAUGUAGGCCUCUGGCCUUGAGCUGGGGCUUCUCAGAGAUGGCUACAUUUCUAAGAUAAGGAAGUUACCAACUGGGCUCCAUGGUAACAGCUGGAGGGGGAGGAAAGAAAGGGAAGGAAAAGCUCUCCUCUUCCCAGGUGUCCUUGAAGGGUUAACUUGCCCAGAACAGAGAAAAAAAAAAAUAUUAUAUCAAGCUGGUGUUCUCCAAAAGGUUGCAUGGUAAUUUUAGGCUUAUAAAAAUAACAUAUUGGAGAUUUAUUUAUAUCAUUUAAUUUUCUAUAACUGGACCUGUUAUCAAUAAGAUAAAUAUGAAGUUCUAUACACUGGGUACAAUUUAAAUGUAAUAUCAUAUUGUGUUAGCUAGUAUUCAUAUGACUUCAAGCAACAAUAUAUAUAAACUUUAUAAAAUGAUAUUUAAGAAACAAAGAUCAACUUCAAUACUAAAACACUUUACCUAAGAUUUAUAAAGAGCCUUGCCUUACCAGAGAUAAGGCUCUGCCUCCCAUCUUACUACAUGUCAAAAUGACUUUGCUGGCUAUUUAUGAUCAAGAUUUAAAGUUAAAUUAAAAGGGCCAAGAAAACCAAUAUUUGGCUCUGGCCCUCUGAGUCAGUCUGAAUCCAGGGAACAGGGAACUUCUCUAAAGAGCUUUGCAACCUGGGCCACAUAACCUCCUGAUCAGGGAGAUUAAUGAGACCACUGGAGAAUGAAAAGCCAAUCAGUGCACUUGCUGUGAAUAGGAGGGUCACUGGAGACAGGAGACAUCCCUGAAGCUUCCAAGGGAAGCCACAUGGUCAAGCAAGACCUGGACCCAUCCACAAAUGGCACUAGCAGAACUAAGAAGCUGUUCUCAAGUUCCCCCAUGACUGACCCCUAUGGGAACGUGGCUGACUCUUAACAAUAGAUAGAAACAAAGUCAAUUUUGACCAGCUUGAUCUUAAACACCUACCAAAAACGGUUAAGCCAAAACACAGUCAUUCCUGGGAGUAAUGAAGGUCAAGAACAACUAGAAAAGAGGAGACAGCAACUAAGCCAACAGGCUCCAUGGGGAAUGUUCAGUCAAGUAUGGCCUUGGCUCCUCCCCCUCGCAGGACCCCUAUUAGUCCUCUUUCUCUUCUCCUAAUAGGACCAUGACUAUUAAAUUGCCUACAGAAGUUCCUGCAAGAUCAGAUACACAAAUUCACCAACCAGUCAGUCAAUUAACUACUUCUUCAAGACUACCAGCCCUGGUGCCCAAGACAGAGACCUAUGACUCCUGACCAACUCCUCUAGCUCCAGAGACUCUACCCCCACCUAAAACCCUCCCUAAUCCCUUUUCCAGAUUUUACAACCCCUCUUUCACUUCCUAGGAAUGAGAACUACUCUCCGGCAGGUCCACUCUGCUUGUUCUACCUGCUGUACAGCAUCCCCACAAGGAAGCAUCAAACCUAAGCUCCCCACACCUCAGAUGAGGAGCCACCAGCCAGGCGAAGACUGGUAGAUCAACUCCACCCACAUGCCUAGGCACAAAAAGCUUCGCUACCUACUUACUUUGGUUGAUACUUUUUCAGGUUGGAGAGAAGCCUUCCCUACCUCCAGGGAAACUGCUGACACUGUAGCCUCCAUCCUCAUUCAGCAGAUAUUUCCAGGUUCGAACUUCCUACCUCCACCCAGUCAGACAACAGUCCGGCCUUCACUUCUCAGGUUGUUCAACUAGUCUCCAAAGGCCUCAACGUCACUUAGUCACUUAGAGGCUCCACAUCCCCCACCAGGUAAGGCUGAGAGGCCUAAUGUCAUUCUCCAGGAUCAUCUCACUAAACUUGCUAUUGAUCUCAGGCUCUUCUGGCCCAAUCUCCUGCAGUUGGCCCUCAUCUGAAUUCAGGCAGCCCCUGGAGCUCCCUCAGGCCUUAGCCCCUUUGAGCAACUCUGUGGGUGCCCUUUCUUAACCAACCAAAGCUUUCCCAUCACUCCUCCUCCCUUGUGUCCUACCUGCUGUGAUAGUAGGAGCAAAUGUGACUCCAUUUUGUUUUAUGACUUCAUCCUGUAAAACAACCAGGACAAGUAGAAGGGUCAUGACUGGAGCAAGAUGUUCUUCUCCUUUUGCUAUAGAAACCUUUAAGAAUAUGGAACUACCUAAUGGGGCAUUGUUUCUAUAACUAGGGUAACGGGGCUCUGUUUCUGUAACUGGGGUGACUGGGCUAACUGUGAUUGGUUAGGCUUCCCCCUGCUUGACUGCACUGUCCCGCUUCUAUAACCUGUCUUGCUUGCAUUGGCUAGACCCCCCAAACAUCCCUUUUGCGGUUUUCAGGCUUAUAAGGAGUGCCCUUGCAAUUGUUCGGGGCUGAUCAAGGGAAGAGCUUUAUGUUCUGGUCAGCCGCCAC